CCCUACGGGACGCAGCAGUAGGGAAUCUUCCACAAUGGACGAAAGUCUGAUGGAGCAACGCCGCGUGAGUGAAGAAGCCAUUCGUGAUGUAAAGCUCUAUCAGCAGGGAAGAAAAUGACGGUACCUGAGUAAGAAGCCCCGGCUAACUACGUGCCAGCAGCCGCGGUAAUACGUAGGGGGCAAGCGUUAUCCGGAUUUACUGGGUGUAAAGGGAGCGUAGACGGCCAGACAAGUCUGAAGUGAAAAUCCAGCGCUUAACGUUGGAAGUGCUUUGGAAACUGCCGGGCUAGAGUGCAGGAGGGGCA
rnacentral:rRNA from 1 species